CACUUUCAAAGGACCCCAGCCGGCCAUUAAUUUUAGGAGUUAACACAACU
rnacentral:tRNA from 1 species